rnacentral:rRNA from 1 species
AUUGAACGCUGGCGGCAUGCCUUACACAUGCAAGUCGAACGGUAACAGGUUAAGCUGACGAGUGGCGAACGGGUGAGUAAUGUAUCGGAACGUGCCCAGUCGUGGGGGAUAACUGCUAGAAAGAGCAGCUAAUACCGCAUACGACCUGAGGGUGAAAGCGGGGGAUCGCAAGACCUCGCGCGAUUGGAGCGGCCGAUAUCAGAUUAGGUAGUUGGUGAGGUAAAGGCUCACCAAGCCGACGAUCUGUAGCUAGUCUGAGAGGACGACCAGCCACACUGGGACUGAGACACGGCCCAGACUCCUACGGGAGGCAGCAGUGGGGAAUUUUGGACAAUGGGCGCAAGCCUGAUCCAGCCAUGCCGCGUGCGGGAGGAAGGCCUUCGGGUUGUAAACCGCUUUUGUCAGGGAAGAAAAGGUUCUGGCUAAUACCUGGGACUCAUGACGGUACCUGAAGAAUAAGCACCGGCUAACUACGUGCCAGCAGCCGCCGUAACAC